UACGUAGGCAGCGAGCGUUGUUCGGAGUUACUGGGCGUAAAGCGUGCGUAGGCGGUUGUCUAAGUCUGGUGUGAAAUCUCCCGGCUCAACUGGGAGGGUGCGCCGGAAACUGGAUGACUGGAGUGCCGGAGAGGUAAGCGGAAUUCCUGGUGUAGCGGUGAAAUGCGUAGAGAUCAGGAGGAACACCUGUGGUGUAGACAGCUCGCUGGGACGUGACUGACGCUGAGACGCGAAAGCGUGGGGAGCAAACAGG
rnacentral:rRNA from 1 species